CCAGCAUUUAGUUGGGCACUUAAGGUGACGCCGGUACAAACCGGAGGAAGGUGGGGAUGACGUCAAAUCAUCAUGCCCCUUAUGACCUGGGCUACACACGUGCUACAAUGGAUGGUACAAAGGGCUGCAAGACCGCGAGGUUUAGCCAAUCCCAUAAAACCAUUCUCAGUUCGGAUUGUAGGCUGCAACUCGCCUACAUGAAGCCGGAAUCGCUAGUAAUCGCGGAUCAGCAUGCCGCGGUGAAUACGUUCCCGGGCCUUGUACACACCGCCCGUCACACCACGAGAGUUUGUAACACCCGAAGUCGGUGGGGUAACCUUUGGAGCGAGCCGCCUAAGGUGGACAGAUGAUUGGGGGGG
rnacentral:rRNA from 2 species